CAGGAGAAAAGGAAGCUGCAAAAACGAAGAAAAAGACAGGAAAAGCCUUACCGAAACGGCGCCCAUGGUCUGAUGAAGAAGCAGCUGCUGUAAUGUGACACUUUCAGAAGAAUAUAUUGCUAGAGCGACUGCCAGGCAAACUACAAUUUGAGCAAUGCAAGGCCAAGGAGCCGGACUUGAAGACCAGAACCUGGAGAGAUGUCAAGUAUUACAUAAAGAAUAAAGUAACAACAUCAAAACGUGACCGAGAACGAAAAAGAUUGUUUUAAACAAGCUCUGGUGGUGACCAGAUUUAAUUAAUACCGAGCUGGAGGUCCUUGGUUGUAUAAUCACGACCGCUCGGGUAGACCGAAAAUGCAGACUAAAACCCGAGCCAACUGUAAUAAGCUCUAUAAUAUGGUGUCACACAGUACAGAAAGUCGGGGAACCUCGAUAGCUCGGCUGUGGACCGGCAAUCCAAAGAUCUGUUGUUCGAAUCCCAGGCAAGGUAACUUCAUUUUUCUGUACUAAUCUCAUUCCUUCAUUGAUAUGAGCCAAUAUUAGCUACCUGUAUUAGUAAUUCCCAUUAUCCAUCAACUGUGUCCGAAUUUGUGGACGAUUCACCACAAGGUUUUCCCAUGUUUUUUCACUGAUUUGCAGGAAAUAGUGUACAAAUAAGUGAAUUCGA